rnacentral:rRNA from 1 species
ACAAGUACCGUGAGGGAAAGUUGCAAAGUACUUUGAAGAGAGAGUUCAAGAGGACGUGAAACCGAUAGGAUGGAAGCAGAUGAAGUUGACGAACGUGUGUCGUAUUCAAAAUCGCUGUCAGCGGUUUGUUUUUACGGCCGAUGUGGGCCGGCGGCUUUGGUCAAUGCAACGCGUCUAGCGUCGAUGGUGACCCUGCGGAGGGACAAUCAGUCGGCGUACGGUGCUUGGUAUGGCUAAGGUUUCGCCGGUCUUAAAGUCAGCGCCUCAUCUGACCCGUCUUGAAACACGGACCAAGGAGUGUAGCGUUUGCGCAAGUCUUAGAGUGUAUCGAAACUUUGAGGCGUAACGAAAGUAAAUGCAGUUUAAUCUGCUGACUUGGGAUGCGUUGUCUCUUGUGGACGGCGCUGGACCAAGGUUUUAUCGCGAUCGCUUGCGGUGCGGUGAAAAUAGAGCGUAAACGGUGCGACCCGAAAGAUGGUGAACUAUGCCUGAGCAGGAUGAAGCCGGAGGAAACUCUGGUGGAAGUCCGAAGCGGUUCUGACGUGCAAAUCGAUCGUCUGACUUGGGUAUAGGGGCGAAAGACUAAUCGAACCAUCUAGUAGCUGGUUCCUUCCGA